rnacentral:tRNA from 1 species
GCCUGGGUGGCUCAGUCGCUUAAGCAUCCGACUUCAGCUCAGGUCAUGUUCUUGCAGUCUGUGGGUUCAAGCCCCACAUCAGGCU